AAUUAACAACAACAUUCAGAGAGGCAGAGGUGGUACCUUCCAUAGACUGUAUAAAAUAUGGACGUAGUCUCCGUGACGUCACCCAUAGGGUUCUGAAGAGCUGAAAUGAAGCUUUGUGGGCGUUCCCACAGUAGCCAUUUUGGCAAAGUUGACUCCGCCCAACUCCCCCGGAUAAUCCAUAAAUGGACAUAGAACUGCAGCUGAGCCGGCCGAAACACGCCCACUUAGCUUGAAGCUACCAAGCUAGCGGAGGCUAGCGGAGCUAACAAGCUAGACUACAUGCUACACCGGGACGGACAGCAGCCGGCCGGCUCGCUGACUAACACUGCCGUGAUGUUCCCGUCUGUUGGUGUCCCAGCUUACACUGCUUAACUCACGUCAGUGUGAAGCAUUGGUGACAGCUCUGUGUCCAGUGAGCUGCUGGACAUUAGUGUCUGCUGGUGGACUGUGGUGGAAAGACCUUCUCCUCUUCUUUGAGGAAGAGCUGCCCAGAUGUCUUCUUCUUCCACUGUGACGGCAGCAGCAGCAUGGGGGAGGUCAGCAGGUCAAGCUGCUCACCAUCAUGGAGAACUUUUCUAGACUUAAAUAUUGUCCACCUUUUUGUUUUUUAUGCAUUUCAAUAAAUUACAUUUGCAUUUGA